CUUGACCGAGCCGAGCCAGAGCGGCCGGCCGGCCUCCCGUCCUCGCCCGUAGGUGGCCAGCAGCGCCUGGGCCUC
rnacentral:antisense_RNA from 1 species